rnacentral:lncRNA from 1 species
CUAGGGAAGAGUUUGCUGAUGGGUUAGAGAUGGGUUGGCUGGAAAUGUUUUAAAAUGUGUUUGAUUUUCUGGAAUUGCCUUCCACAGACCAAUUUCUUCUUCAUGGCAUCUCAUGUGAGAAUUACUCAUUAGAGUCACAACAUGAUUCCCUGAAUGGCUGACUCAUGAAUCCUUCUCAUGUCUCAAAUUGCCAUGUAUACAGCAGAUCAGAUUUUGCUGAUGUGAUUGACUGCACCUGAAGUUACAGCUACUUGGCCCAUUACAAGAAGAAAUGAAUCGACUCAAUUAAAUUACAGAGGAAUGUCUCAAAAAAUUCUCAGAAUCUACAGUUUAUCUGGCUGCAUUUCACAAGAAUCUUCACUGCUACUGGAUUUAGAGGAGAUUUUGAAGGACAGAUUUAAAGAAAAGAAAGCAAGCUGCAAACAAAGACCAUGACAGCCUUUCCUUCUGAUGUCUGUACAACAUAUUGGUGGAACUGUCAUUUGAUGCUACAGUAGUAAAUAACUGAUUUUGCCGUAUGCUUAGAAGAUUUCAAAG